rnacentral:rRNA from 1 species
AUUGAACGCUGGCGGCAGGCCUAACACAUGCAAGUCGAGCGGGGCGGCUGACGGACGGGUAAUGCCUAGGUAUCUGCCCGGCAGUGGGGGAUGGCGUACGCCUACGAGCGCUAAUCUAGUACCUUUUCUGUUGAGCCUAGGUCGUAUUAGCUAGUUGGUGGGGUAAUGGCCUACCUAGGCGACGAUCCGUAUCUGGUCUGAGAGGAUGAUCAGGCACACUGGGACUGAGACACGGUCCAGACUCCUACGGGAGGCAGCAGUGGGGAAUAUUGGACAAUGGGCGAAAGCCUGAUCCAGCCAUGCCGCGUGUGUGAAGAAGGUCUUCGGAUUGUAAAGCACUUUAAGUUGGGAGGCGUUACCAACAGAAUAAGCACCGGCUAACUUCGUGCCAGCCGCCGCGGUAAUUC